rnacentral:rRNA from 1 species
UACGGAGGGAGCAAACGUUGUUCGGAUUUACUGGGCGUAAAGGGUGUGUAGGCGGUCUUGUAAGUCAGGGGUGGAAUCCCUCGGCUCAACCGAGGAACUGCCUUUGAGACUGCAGGACUUGAGGGCGUGAGAGGAGACUGGAAUUCCUAGUGUAGCGGUGAAAUGCAUAGAUAUUAGGAGGAACACCGAUGGCGAAGGCAGGUCUCUGGGCCACUACUGACGCUGAGAAGCGAAAGCAUGGGGAGCGAACAGG